CCGACGGGGCGGCCGCCGCUGCGGGACGCGCGGAGCGGAGCGCACCGAGAGCGCCGGCGGCAGCAGCAGCAGCAGCAGCAGCAGGAGGAGGAGGAGGAGGAGGACGGCGAGGAGGAGGAGGAAGGAGGAGGAGGAGGAGCUCCUUCUCUGAACCUCGCCUGGGCUCCCUCCCCGUACGCCUAUUAGCGGGGGGCUUCCGAAAGCAGCCGGCUGAGAAAUCGCAGCUCUACGGCGCGGCUCCGUUUGGUGGCCGGGGUGUCCUUAAGCCCCAAAUAUUCUCUCGCCACAGGAGUUUUCUCCGUGUGAUUUAAUAUUGAGCAACAGUGGCAUCCGGUGGGCAGCGGGCUGCCUCCCGAGCAGCUGGCAGCAGCACGCUCCCUCUGGUUCGUCGCACGCUUUCUCUAGGUGCUUAUUAAAUACAAGUUCCACUUUUAUCCGAAUUUCAAGGUCUUUCUCACCCAAAAGCUUACACGCUCCUGCCUGUCUGAAACA